rnacentral:lncRNA from 1 species
UUUUGAUGUAAAUUUUUAAUAUUUAAUAUUUAAUAUUUAAUUUGAAUUUAAAUUAAUAUAUUAUAAAGAUAAUGUUAGUAUAUUAAUUUGAUUACAUUUUUUAUAUCCACCUGAACCAAACACCGACAAUGGGAAUGAUUUAUUCCGAUUCCGAUUCAGAAGAUGAACCAAACAGAAUUAGGUAAUGAGUCAUUCCGAUUCUGAUUCCAGCUUAUUUUGAUUCCAAUUUUGAUUUCGAUUCCGACUUUGAACCAAACGCGCCGUAAAUGCAUGUGGCGGAUCAGGGGGAUGAGAAGUUUGGA